rnacentral:rRNA from 1 species
GACGAACGCUGGCGGCGUGCUUAACACAUGCAAGUCGAGCGGUAAGGCCUUUCGGGGUACACGAGCGGCGAACGGGUGAGUAACACGUGGGUGAUCUGCCCUGCACCUCGGGAUAAGCCUGGGAAACUGGGUCUAAUACCGGAUAUGACCUCCUAUCGCAUGGUGGGUGGUGGAAAGAUUUAUCGGUGCAGGAUGGGCCCGGGGCCUAUCAGCUUUUUGGUGGGGUAAUGGCCUACCAAGGCGACGACGGGGAGCCGACCUGGGCGGGUGACCGGCCACACUGGGACUGAGAGACGGCACAGCCUCCUACGGGAGGCAGCAGUGGGGAAUAUUGCACAAUGGGCGGAAGCCUGAUGCAGCGACGCCGCGUGAGGGAUGACGGCCUUCGGGUUGUAAACCUCUUUCAGCAGGGACGAAGCGAAAGUGACGGUACCUGGAGAAGAAGCACCGGCUAACUACGUG